CUCCACGCGCCUCGCAGCCAAUCCCUGCCCUCGACUCGUCCCACUCCCACACGAGCCGCCAGACAAACCCUAGCCUGUUUCCCCUCAACCCCCAACCUCUCAUGCCUCCUCCGCCCCUUCUCCUCGCAUCACCACGGGAUUCUCGCCAACGCCUGCUAUUCCCCCUCCCUCAUCUCUGUUCGACGCCAAGGACCAGCUCACCCCGCACCUUUUAUCCACCCACGACCUAGGGUUGGGGAGGCCGGGUGUUCUCGCUGGGGUGGAGGAGCAGGUGAGGGCCGGGAGGCCGACGGUGGGGGAGCAGCGAGGCCGUCGGAUGGAGCCGCGAGGCCCGAACUCUAGGCGUCGUACACAUUGCAGGAUGGAGAAGAGGUCGGUGUGGGGCCCAAGGAGCAGCGGGGCAAGAACAGUGGGGGUGGGGCUUUCAUCUCCUCUGUUCUAAUCGCGACUCCUGCGACCUCGUCACCGGUGCUCGCUCGACUGGCAUAUGGGGCGGCGGCCGGGACGUUGGCCCUCCGCACGAACUCGAAGCCGAGUCUAGCUGACGAGCCCCGUGCGAUUGUGUGAAGCAAGUAUACGUGGCGAUGUAGGCCGUCGGGUAGUGUAGCAGCCUGCACACACGACAUGAGCAGCAGCCAGGUCCAUGGGCGUUGCUUGUGGAGCAGCGGUCAAGUCACGGUGUGCCAUCAAUUGAGAAAAUAACUUUCCUUCUUGUGAGAUAUCAAACAAUACAUGUUCUACAAAUCCGAGAUUCAAGCAGCCUUGUUGAGGUACGAAGAAUUGGUGCAUUUUGUCGGAAGAUGACGAGCUAUGUCUUCAUUCACAUGGCCAGGCUGCACAAUGGAGUUCUUUUCUUCCCGGUAUCAAGCAACGGUUGCUAUCAUUUAUUUUCCACAGGACUUGGAAUGAGGAACCUGAACAGGCUUUGCUUACCUACUUAGCUAUCUUGCACGCCAUUCAUUCAUUAGCUAUGUGAUCUUGAUCUGUGAUUUGCAUUCAUACUUGAUUGGUUAUUCCCAGAUUGAUCUCAAUAUUUUUGAAUGCUCAAGCCAAUUACGAUGCUUAAAAUCAUCUCUAACUUAUUGCAUUCAUUACUGAAAUUUUCACACUCCCUAUCAUUAUUAUGUAUAGUGAAUCUUGCAUCUUUUGAAUUGUUGAAACAAACUUAUGCUUAAUUGCUUACGCCCAUUUCUUUCUUCGUCGUGUGGUCUUUGUUGUGAAUGAAAAAUGCUUUGUCUCGACUUGUUUGAAUUAGUAAUUUUGAUUUGCAAAGAGUCCAACAUCUGCGGAAGAAAUUUUAUUUUCACUUUGAAGACUAUGUGGAUCUUAUCAUAUAGAAGGUACCUAAUAUAUAUACAUUCAAGACUAGCUUUAUUGAAUCACAAUAGCAUUGUGGAAACAUAGUUUGUUGGUUCUGAACUUUUGCGGCACAUAAAUUUUAGCUUUCAGGAAUUAUGAUAUUGGCCAUUUCCACUAAACAAUAGAAGGGCACAUGUAAGGACAUAUAGAAACUGAAGUUAACGUAAUCCCAUAGGAUAUAGUGUGAGAAUAGUACACCGAUUUAGUGAGGCAAGUAGUGGCUUGUUUUGCCAUCCCUGUGAUGAAAGUUACUUUAGGUAAUCUUGGUAUAAAAUCAUUUCCUUAAAUUGUAACUUAGGGUCAGACGGGGAUUGUUAUUUCACCUGAAUAUUUUAUUAUGCUUCUAAGUUAUGGAAAUAGAUAGAGUAAGAGGAAAUGGGGCGUUGUUAGGUGGGACCUUGCCACAGUUGCCUUGGUUUUUUGCAUGGAAGCUCGACUCUCUAUGGCUAGCCUUCCAUGGUUAGAUCGAGGGUCCCAAGCUGCAGGUGAGCUCUUCUUUUCACCUGCAGGUUAUGAGUUAUCUCCACCUCAAUGAGAUUUAGUUUGCACACUAACGACUAUAGGUUGCGUAAUGUUUGGAGUGGUCUUCUUCCAUAUUUCUCCAGUUCAGUCAUGUAUUUCUUUGCGGCCAUUUUCGCUUCAAUAUUCCCUUAUUCUCACAUGUUGGUUGCGACUUCUUUGUUUAUGUUGGACUAUUCUGUGAACUGCCAUCAUAACAGCUUGCUGAAAAUAGUGUUGUCGGAUGGUAGCCAUUAUUGGUACAACUUAAGUGCUUAUCAGUUAACUUAUUUGAGCUCUACGGGGCAGCCAAAUGAUUAUUGGGUGAUUUAUUUGCAGUAAAUUAUAGUGUUACUUUGAUUGAUUCUAGGAUGUGCUUGAGCAUAACUUUGCCACUUCUCGGAUUAAUCUAUUCAGUAGUAGAAUGUUGGAAUAAAGUAUUAGACAGAUAAUUAGUUCAUCCAAGCCUCCACUUGCUCCCAUUUCCUCCAAGUUCAUAUGCAAUCAGGAACAACCAUGGGAAAUCUUUGGUUUACUGUUUUUUCUCUGGAUUCCUACCAGUGCCUAGCGUCGGUGUUAUUUACAGUUUUCGAUAAUUUAUUCAGUGGAGCUAAAUUGUGCCUUUCAUCCCAUGUUCUUGUGUGACAAUAAAGUAUGGUACAAAAGAUAAUUAAAUUAACAAAAAGAUUGUGGUGGCCAUUUAGUUCAAAAUGCACCAAUUCCUACAUAGACAACCAGUUGACUAGACUAUGUGCUAGAAUUUAGUUCAAAAUUCACCAGUUCUUACAUGGACAACCAUUUGACUGAACUAUGUGGGAGAACUUAGGUUUCCUUCAUGGUACUGAAUGACAGCCUAAUGAUGUGAUUCCAGGAAGGGAAGGAUGUGGCCGCAAAGGCCAAGACUGGUUCUAGAAAGACCUUUGCCUACCUUCUCCCACUGUUGCAAGAGCUGCUGAAGUUGUGCAAAGAAGGGCGUAUUCAGAAAUCUACACCAAAUGACUUAAUCCUGGUGCCAACUCGCGACUUAUGCUAGCAGCGGCUAAACACCGGCGCCCGCGUGAAGGCACAACGACGACGUACGGGAGGAUGCCUGAGAGGUCUAUGGGCUUCAGGGCGGUCAUGCAAGGCUGCGGGCAUGAAGAAGAACUGGACUGAGUUGGUCGGAGACCGUGCGGUGGUCGUGAGGAUGGGCAAUAGUGAGCUCGAGCGGCGGCGAUGGGCGGCGCUCAUGGGGGGAGGUUCUCGGCGGUGCAAGGAAGCUCGAGGGCGCACUAGGACAUUCGAGAGGUUGCCUUGGAGCUGAGUAACAAGGGGGGAUCCUCCUAGAUUCAUGGCUAGAGGAGAUUGGGCAGCGGCCGCAAUCCACCGGAGUUGGGGAAGACGAUGAGUGAGCCGUCGAUUUCGGGUGCCUUGGUCUAAUUCAUCCUGUUGGAAAACUGAUCGAGAAGUGCUCGAUCUAAUCGACCGCAAACCAUGCCUGCGAGCCUAGAGCUGGCCACCGACGUCGGAUGUUGGCCGCCGCCGGAGUUGAGCGAGAGAGAGAGAGACACAGAGAGGUAAGAGAGAAUACAUUUCUUUUUUCUUUUUUGGUGGGUCCACUUGUAAGUGACAGAGGGGGUGAGGGAGGGAGUUUUUUGGUUUUUUUCCUUGAGUAGGUCCCACCUAUAAGUGUCAUAUGCGUAUAGGGGCAAAACUGGCCAGAAAAUGUCAUGUAGCCAGUCAAACGCCUUUGACCACAUGGAAAUGGUACGGAAGGGUAUUUCUAUAAGAAGCUUUGACGGAAGAGGGGCAUUUUUGAGCAUGCUCGAAAUUUAGGGGUAAAUGCCAGGUGUGGGUUCAAGUUAGGGGGAGAAAUGGAAUUGUUCCUUUUUUUAUUUUUAGAAUAAUUCUGAAACGAGGUCACUCCUACUGAUCUUGCUCUUCGAGUUUGGUGGUAGGAUGCUAGGUCAAGAAUGCAAGAUGAGCGAAAGAAAAUUAUGAAUGACUUUAUCUCUGGUAAUUUGGAACAUAUGGAGGGAGCAAGACAAUAGGCUUUGAUAGUGUCUUCAUGUCGUUCCAGAGGGUUAUCGAUCCCGAUAUUGGGCAGUGGGUUGGUGGGAGCUUGGGUCCUUUGAUCACCCCCUAGGUUUUUUGGUAUCUGCUAGGCCGCGCUUGGAUUAGGUGUAAAAUAAUACGGAGGUGUUUUCUUUACAUGUGUAAUUUGCUGGCCAGUGAGCAAUUUCGGGCCGGAAACGAUGUAUUUUUUUACAGAGGUAUUUGAAACGAGAACACUGAUCCAAACUGGCCCCUAGGGUUUCCAGAGAGCCAUCGAUUUCCAAUUGUGUAAAGACUCCACUCUGUAACAUAUGCAAUCCUACGCAUGGUUUGAAAAAGGAAUGAUUCUGAAACUCGGUUUAGAGCAGUGAAACGAGAUGAUUCUCUUCAUGGGACCUUUGAUGGUGGUGCCUCAAGUCCAAGGCGAAGUUGAUGGUGGUGCCUCAAGUUCACAAUGAUGGACUUGUGAACCUGACUUGCCGUAGCUUUGGCGGUAGGGGCAGACACAACAAAAAUGUUAUAUAUGUGUAUUGACUCAAAUUCGUUACACUUGUGAGAAUCCCUCAAAAUGCAAAAGGUGAAGAUAAUAAAUGUUGUUACAAGUACCAU